rnacentral:lncRNA from 10 species
GUGACGUAGCUGCAGGGGGAGCUGGGGAAGAGCCGCGCAGGCGCCGGAGGAGGCCGUGGGAGGUGACGUAGCUGCAGGGGGAGCUGGGGAAGAGCCGCGCAGGCGCCGGAGGAGGCCGUGGGAGGUGACGUAGCUGCAGGGGGAGCUGGGGAAGAGCCGCGCAGGCGCCGGAGGAGGCCGUGGGAGGUGACGUAGCUGCAGGGGGAGCUGGGGAAGAGCCGCGCAGGCGCCGGAGAGUCUUGCGGAGCAUCCCCCUGUGCUGAGUCCCGGAUUCAUUCCUUGGUUUUACAGACGAGGAAGCUGAGGAUCUGAGAGCUGUACAGUAGUGGCUGAGGUCACCCUUCCUGCCAACAGUGUGAAGGACCCCAACCCUGACAGAGACCAGACCCUGGGAUCUGGAAUGUGUAUCCUGAGUGCAUUCUGCCACUGCCUCUUAGCCACCUUCCCUGAUGCUGUCUGGGAUGCAGGCAUUGCAUGCAGUUCACGUCGGAAGAUUCCACACUGCAAUCCAGAGACCAAAAGGAGCCCAUUGCGAUCUGGCUCUGGGGGACCCUGGGAUGAUAUCCCUACCCCCAGGGACAGGAACCAACCCCCGGGGACCUGGAGAGACUCUGUGCCCUGCAGGACCGAUGGGGGACUCCUCCCUGUAUGUACGUGUGCGUGGCCCUGCCUUGUUCUUGCCCCGGACCUGGCCUGGUGAAGGAGGCACGAGGAAGAUUGCAGUCAGGGACGCUCAGCCUGGGAGCUGACCCUCAGGUGAGGCCCUAAGGAAGUUCCCAGACCUCCCUGAACCUCAGUAUGCUCAUCUGUCCAGCAGCAACCCUGGGCCUUAAGUGAGAACAUCUAUGCGGAAGAGGCAGGUGCCAAUCAAGCCCUCUGUAAAGUUACCUCCCCUUUUCCCUUCUUCUCCUCUCACAGAGCUGAAGAAUAUUUUGCAAAGUUCAUUGUAAACAUUAAAAUAAUCUUGGGUGUUUAUCAUUCGUUAAACCUGUUGGGCUGACUUUAGGUCUACCGCUCUCAAAAAACCAAGAAUAAAUGGCACAGGGAGCUGAGUUCCGUGUCUGGUUAUGGGCAGUGGAGAUGGGGGCUGAGGAGUCUCAGCAUCCCCUGUCCCCAGCCUGGCUUCUCACAGAACAAGGGGACGGGCAGGAUGGCUGCAAGGUCACCAUGGUGACCUGAAUAACCAUGGGAAGUGCCUGAGGCUCUCCUGAGCUCAAUGGCCGCCAC